UACAGAGGGGGCAAGCGUUGUUCGGAAUUACUGGGCGUAAAGGGCGCGUAGGCGGCCUGCUAAGUCGAACGUGAAAUCCCCGGGCUCAACCCGGGAACUGCGUCCGAUACUGGUUGGCUUGAAUCCGGGAGAGGGAUGCGGAAUUCCAGGUGUAGCGGUGAAAUGCGUAGAUAUCUGGAAGAACACCAGUGGCGAAGGCGGCUCACUGGUCCGGUACUGACGCUGAGGUGCGAAAGCGUGGGGAGCAAACAGG
rnacentral:rRNA from 1 species